rnacentral:rRNA from 1 species
GACGAACGCUGGCGGCGUGCUUAACACAUGCAAGUCGAACGAUGAACUUGGAGCUUGCUCUGGGGGAUUAGUGGCGAACGGGUGAGUAACACGUGAGUAACCUGCCCUGGACUCUGGGAUAACUUCGAGAAAUCGGAGCUAAUACCGGACAGGACCUUGCACCGCAUGGUGUGGGGGUGACCGUUGUUAAAGGAGCAAUCCGCUUGAGGAGGAGCUUGCGGCAGAUUAGCUAGUUGGUAAGGUAAUGGCUUACCAAGGCUACGAUCUGUAUCCGGUCUAAGAGGACGGUCGGACACACUGACACUGAAUAACGGGUCAGACUCCUACGGGAGGCAGCAGUCGGGAAUUUUGGGCAAUGGGCGAAAGCCUGACCCAGCAACGCCGCGUGAAGGAUGAAGUAUUUCGGUAUGUAAACUUCGAAAGAAUGGGAAGAAUAAAUGACGGUACCAUUUAUAAGCUCCGGCUAACUACGUGCCAGCCGCCGCCGUAACAC